GAUGAACGCUGGCGGCGUGCCUAAUACAUGCAAGUCGAGCGAACGGACGAGAAGCUUGCUUCUCUGAUGUUAGCGGCGGACGGGUGAGUAACACGUGGAUAACCUACCUAUAAGACUGGGAUAACUUCGGGAAACCGGAGCUAAUACCGGAUAAUAUUUUGAACCGCAUGGUUCAAAAGUGAAAGACGGUCUUGCUGUCGCUUAUAGAUGGAUCCGCGCUGCAUUAGCUAGUUGGUAAGGUAACGGCUUACCAAGGCAACGAUGCAUAGCCGACCUGAGAGGGUGAUCGGCCACACUGGAACUGAGACACGGUCCAGACUCCUACGGGAGGCAGCAGUAGGGAAUCUUCCGCAAUGGGCGAAAGCCUGACGGAGCAACGCCGCGUGAGUGAUGAAGGUCUUCGGAUCGUAAAACUCUGUUAUUAGGGAAGAACAUAUGUGUAAGUAACUGUGCACAUCUUGACGGUACCUAAUCAGAAAGCCACGGCUAACUACGUGCCAGCAGCCGCGGUAAUACGUAGGUGGCAAGCGUUAUCCGGAAUUUAUGGGCGUAAAGCGAGCGCAGCGGUUUUUUAAGUCUGAAGUUAAGGCUGUGGCUUAACCAUAGUACGCUUUGGAAACUGUUUAACUUGAGUGCAAGAGGGGAGAGUGGAAUUCCAUGUGUAGCGGUGAAAUGCGUAGAUAUAUGGAGGAACACCGGUGGCGAAAGCGGCUCUCUGGCUUGUAACUGACGCUGAGGCUCGAAAGCGUGGGGAGCAAACAGGAUUAGAUACCCUGGUAGUCCACGCCGUAAACGAUGAGUGCUAGGUGUUAGACCCUUUCCGGGGUUUAGUGCCGCAGCUAACGCAUUAAGCACUCCGCCUGGGGAGUACGACCGCAAGGUUGAAACUCAAAGGAAUUGACGGGGGCCCGCACAAGCGGUGGAGCAUGUGGUUUAAUUCGAAGCAACGCGAAGAACCUUACCAGGUCUUGACAUCCCUCUGACCGCUCUAGAGAUAGAGCUUUCCUUCGGGACAGAGGUGACAGGUGGUGCAUGGUUGUCGUCAGCUCGUGUCGUGAGAUGUUGGGUUAAGUCCCGCAACGAGCGCAACCCCUAUUGUUAGUUGCCAUCAUUCAGUUGGGCACUCUAGCGAGACUGCCGGUAAUAAACCGGAGGAAGGUGGGGAUGACGUCAAAUCAUCAUGCCCCUUAUGACCUGGGCUACACACGUGCUACAAUGGCUGGUACAACGAGUCGCAAGCCGGUGACGGCAAGCUAAUCUCUUAAAGCCAGUCUCAGUUCGGAUUGUAGGCUGCAACUCGCCUACAUGAAGUCGGAAUCGCUAGUAAUCGCGGAUCAGCACGCCGCGGUGAAUACGUUCCCGGGCCU
rnacentral:rRNA from 1 species